AAUAUUCAAGCGCGGCAGUUCUUCCUUUUCAAAGUCCCGGCUCAUUUUAGAUUUUAUAAAUAUAAAUUAGCGGGCAGUGAGAUAAACUUGGGAAUUCCCUUUGGAGGGGGUAUACAUUUGGAAUGGCUAGCAAAUCCCCUAAAUGUUUUCGGCCACAACGGGGCUUUAGUUCCGGGCCAAAGGAUGCCCAAAUGGGAUUAGCUAGUUGGUAAGGUACAGGCUUACCAAGGCGACGGUCUUUAGCUGUUCUGAGAGGAAGUUCAGCCCCAUAGGGAAUGAGACCCGGCCCAGACUCCUACGGGAGGCAGCAGUGGGGAAUAUUGCACAAUGGGGGAAACCCUGAUGCAGCCAUGCCGCGUGUGUGAAGAAGGCCUUCGGGUUGUAAAGCACUUUCAGUUGUGAGGAAAAGUUAGUAGUUAAUACCUGCUAGCCGUGACGUUAACAACAGAAGAAGCACCGGCUAACUCCGUGCCAGCAGCCGCGGUAAUACGGAGGGUGCGAGCGUUAAUCGGAAUUACUGGGCGUAAAGCGCACGCAGGCGGUUUGUUAAGCUAGAUGUGAAAGCCCCGGGCUCAACCUGGGAUGGUCAUUUAGAACUGGCAGACUAGAGUCUUGGAGAGGGGAGUGGAAUUCCAGGUGUAGCGGUGAAAUGCGUAGAUAUCUGGAGGAACAUCAGUGGCGAAGGCGACUCCCUGGCCAAAGACUGACGCUCAUGUGCGAAAGUGUGGGUAGCGAACAGGAUUAGAUACCCUGGUAGUCCACACCGUAAACGCUGUCUACUAGCUGUGUGUGCCUUUAAGGCGUGCGUAGCGAAGCUAACGCGCUAAGUAGACCGCCUGGGGAGUACGGCCGCAAGGUUAAAACUCAAAUGAAUUGACGGGGGCCCGCACAAGCGGUGGAGCAUGUGGUUUAAUUCGAUGCAACGCGAAGAACCUUACCUACACUUGACAUGCUGAGAAGUUACUAGAGAUAGUUUCGUGCCUUCGGGAACUCAGACACAGGUGCUGCAUGGCUGUCGUCAGCUCGUGUCGUGAGAUGUUGGGUUAAGUCCCGCAACGAGCGCAACCCUUGUCCUUAGUUGCCAGCCUUAAGUUGGGCACUCUAAGGAGACUGCCGGUGACAAACCGGAGGAAGGUGGGGACGACGUCAAGUCAUCAUGGCCCUUACGUGUAGGGCUACACACGUGCUACAAUGGCAUUUACAGAGGGAAGCGAGACAGUGAUGUGGAGCGGACCCCUUAAAGAAUGUCGUAGUCCGGAUUGGAGUCUGCAACUCGACUCCAUGAAGUCGGAAUCGCUAGUAAUCGCAGGUCAGAAUACU
rnacentral:rRNA from 1 species